rnacentral:rRNA from 1 species
UGGGGAAUAUUGGACAAUGGACGCAAGCCUGAUCCAGCAAUGCCGCGUGGGUGAAGAAGGUCUUCGGAUUGUAAAGCCCUUUCGGCGGGGACGAUGAUGACGGUACCCGCAGAAGAAGCCCCGGCUAACUUCGUGCCAGCAGCCGCGGUAAUACGAAGGGGGCUAGCGUUGCUCGGAAUGACUGGGCGUAAAGGGCGCGUAGGCGGUUUGAACAGUUGGGCGUGAAAUUCCUGGGCUUAACCUGGGGGCUGCGUUCAAUACGUUUAGACUUGAGUUUGGAAGAGGGUCGUGGAAUUCCCAGUGUAGAGGUGAAAUUCGUAGAUAUUGGGAAGAACACCGGUGGCGAAGGCGGCGACCUGGUCCGAUACUGACGCUGAGGCGCGAAAGCGUGGGGAGCAAACAGGAUUAGAUACCCUGGUAGUCCACGCUGUAAACGAUGUGCGCUGGAUGUUGGGCGACCUAGUCGCUCAGUGUCGUAGCUAACGCGAUAAGCGCACCGCCUGGGGAGUACGGCCGCAAGGUUG